rnacentral:lncRNA from 1 species
CAAAGGAAUACAAAGAGAUUCCUGCUCAGGAAGAUGUUCUGAGAAGGCAACUUUGUUUUCUUUUUUAUUAAAAAAAUUAUGUAUGAGUACACUGUAGCUGUCUUCAGACACAUCAGAAGAGGGCGUUGGAUCCUAUUACAGAUAGUUGUGAGCCACCAUGUGGUUGCUGUGAAUUCAACAUUCAACUCAGGACCUCUGGAAGAGCAGUCAGUGCUCUUAACCUCUGAGUCAUCUCUCCAGCCCCUCCUUUUGAUAUUAUAAUUACAUCAUUUCUCCUUUCCCUUUCUUCCUUCAAAUGUGCCCAUACAUCCCUCCUUGCUCUCUUUCAAAUUCAUGACCUUUUAAAAUUAUUGCUACAUACAAACAUGUUCUCUCUCUCUCUCUCUCUCUCUCUCUCUCUCUCUCUCUCUCUCUCUCACACACACACACACACACACACACACACACACACAUUUUUAAAUGUUACAUAUGUAUGUUUUCAGGAACGAUCAUUUGAUAUUUGAUAACCAACUGGAGAAGACUAAUUUUCUCCCUCUAGUGUUCCUUAAGAAGGUAACUCUUUAAAAAUAUUUUUAACAAAAUAAAAUAUAACAAAAUAAAGCAAAAGCUAUAAUAUCAAAGUUGGAAAAGACAAGACAACAGAAAAAUAAAAGAACCCCCACUGAAGGCACCAGAAUCAGAGAUGCACCCCUUUACACACUCAGGAGUCCCAGAAAAGUACUAAACUGAGAGUUAUGGUAUAUAUGCAGAGGACCUGGUGCAGACCUGAGUAGGCCCUCUAUCACUCCUUCAGUCUCUGUGAAUUCAUAUGCACUUUGCUCAACUGUUUUGGGGUCUCUUGUUUUCCUGCUGUCCCUCAUCCCCUUUGUCUCCCCCAUUUCUUUUGCCUUCCCCCUUCCAGGGGGUUCCCUGAUCUCUAAGGUGAGGAAGUUGAUGGAGACAUCUUGUUUAGAGCUGUGUGUCCCAAGGUCUCUCUGUGUGAUGAUUUGCUGUGAGUCUCUGUGCUUAUUCCCAUCUGCUGCAGGAAGAAGUGUCUCUGAUAAUAGCUGAAUAAGGCACCAGUCUAUGAGCAUAGAAGAGUAUUAUUAUGAAUAAACUUUUGUUCCUUUUUUUUUUAAGAAAAUAGUAUUUGGUUUUACUCUAGGUUUCUAGGAUAUCUGUAUUCCUUUUUGAUCACCAAAGUGGUGUGUUUGGUUUUACUCUAGGUCUCUGGGCUCUCUAGACUCUUUCUUGGCCACCAAAGUGGUAUCAGGUGUGGCUUCUCUCUCAUGGAGAGGUCUUAAGUUAGGCAUCAUUUGGCUACUCCCACAAUGUGUAUGCCACCAUUGCCCUAGCAAAUUUUGCAGAAGGACAGAUUGUAGAUUAAAGGUUUUGUGGUUGGGUUUGUGUUUACUUUUCUCUAGAUUUUGUGAGUGGACUGGAGAUGCAGGAAGAGAGAAUGAGAAGAGUCGGAUCUGGUGGGAAGGGAGAUGAAUUGAGGGGCGGAAUUAGGGAGAGUUAGAUAGAGUUGAAGAACAUUUUAGGGUACUAUCAAAAUCUAGUGGAGUGGAAACUUGCUAAAGUCUACAAAGGUGAUCCUAGUUAAGUCUCCAAAUAAUGAGGGAGACAGAACCCCUACUUGCCAUUUCUUGUCACCAAAUGAAGCUUCCAGUGCUGGUGGAAGUUGUGGAGGGGAGGGUUUCCAUCCAAUUGGGUUUUGGCCUAAACAAUGAAGGCUGUUGCCAAGGCAAUAGGUUGCUCUCUACGAACACAUAGCAAGGCCCAGUUGCAGAAGACAACAUCCAUACAACUCAUUCAGGUUGUAUGAACAGGUUGAGCUGGUGCCUAAACAGAACCAUCUCCCCAUAUUCUAGUGUCUAUGACACAAAGGAGAGAGCAUUUAGUGGAGUCCUUUUCCUUCUUGAACAUCUCCGUUUUAAGUUUCCUAAAACAGCAUCAUUCUCCAGCUGGGCAGUGGCAGCACAUAUCUUUAAUAUCAAUCAGUACUUGGGAGGCAGAGGCAGGCAGUUCUCUGAGUUCAAGGACAGCCUAUUCUACGGAGUAAAUUCCAGGACAGCCAGAGUUGCACAGAGAAACCCUGUCUGGAAAAACAAAACUAAACCAA